rnacentral:lncRNA from 1 species
UCAAUUAAUUUAGUGUUUGGGGUUUAGGAGUAGAUGAGAUAAGAAGAAUAGUGAGUUAUUAUGAACAGAAAAUAAUAUUUGAUUUGGUUUGGUGGAGUUAGGUGGGGUUAAGUAAUCCUACUUAAAAUGGGAUAUCACGGGUUAGGUGGGGUUAACUAACCCCACCUAUUUUUAUAGGUGUUUGGGAGUAAGUAUGGGGUUAAGGGGUUAUUCCACCCCUUAACCCCAUACCAAACAAGGGCUUCUUAGUAAUUUUCAGGUCAAUCAAGUAUUUAACAAUAACAUUUUUUCAUAUUUAACUUUGAUUUUCGAAAUUUAAAAUCAGAAACAGCUUAAGUGGGUGUUUGGUCUAACUUUUGAAAAAUAAUUUUGAAUCUAAAAUUGAUUUUUGACUCAAUAGAGCAUUUCGCAAUUUCAUUUUCAAAUUUUGAUUCUGAUUUUUAUAAUCAAUUUUAUGAUUUUCGAGAUAAAAAAUCAAAAACAGCUAAAAUCUAAUUCUGGUUUUUAACUCAAAUUUUAAAUUUUUAUUCUGAUUUUAGGUUCAAAUUUUAAAUCUAAAUUCAAAUUUUAAUUUUAAUUUUGAAUUUUGAAUUUUAUAUUUGAAUUUUUUAAUUUCGAAUUUUAAAUUUUGUUAUUAACUUUAAAUUUCAAACCUCAAGUUUUAAAUUUAAAAAUUCAAAAUUUUAUAUUAUAAUAUUAAAACUUAAUAUAAAUUUUAAAUUUUAAAAUUUUAAAAAAUUAUAAGUUUAAAGUUUCAAAUUAUUAGAAUUCAAAAUUUUAAAUUUUAAACUUUAGUUUAGAAUUCUAAAAAAUUUAAAUUUUAUCUAUUGAAUUUUAGAUAUUCAAAUUUUAAUUUUUAAAUUUCAAAAGUCAAAUUUUCGAUUUUUAAAUUUUAAAUUUUUUUAAAACUAAAAUAUCUAAAUUUAAAUUUUGUGAAAACUUAAAAUUUAAAAUUUAUAUGCAAUAUUUGUAGGUAAUAAAUUUAUUAAUUUAUUAAAUUAUUUUUAAAUAAUAUUUUAAUGUUAAUUAAUUAGAUAAAAUAAUUUUAGUUUAAAAUUAUAACUUUUAUUUCCUCUGUACUAAGCUAACUAUUCAAACAUUAUUUAACUUAUUUAUCAGAAUAAUUUAAUUUUUUAUUUAUCUUUUAACUUAUAUCUAUUUUUGAAAU